UAGGGAAUCUUCGGCAAUGGGGGCAACCCUGACCGAGCAACGCCGCGUGAGUGAAGAAGGUUUUCGGAUCGUAAAGCUCUGUUGUAAGUUAAGAACGAGUGUGAGAGUGGAAAGUUCACACUGUGACGGUAGCUUACCAGAAAGGGACGGCUAACUACGUGCCAGCAGCCGCGGUAAUACGUAGGUCCCGAGCGUUGUCCGGAUUUAUUGGGCGUAAAGCGAGCGCAGGCGGUUUGAUAAGUCUGAAGUUAAAGGCUGUGGCUCAACCAUAGUUCGCUUUGGAAACUGUCAAACUUGAGUGCAGAAGAGGAGAGUGGAAUUCCAUGUGUAGCGGUGAAAUGCGUAGAUAUAUGGAGGAACACCGGUGGCGAAAGCGGCUCUCUGGUCUGUAACUGACGCUGAGGCUCGAAAGCGUGGGGAGCGAACAGGAUUAGAUACCCUGGUAGUCCACGCCGUAAACGAUGAGUGCUAGGUGUUGGAUCCUUUCCGGGAUUCAGUGCCGCAGCUAACGCAUUAAGCACUCCGCCUGGGGAGUACGACCGCAAGGUUG
rnacentral:rRNA from 1 species